GCCGGUGUGGCUCAGUGGAUAGAGCAUUGGCCUGCGGACUGAAAGGUCCCAGGUUCGAUUCCGGCCAAGGGCA
rnacentral:tRNA from 1 species